UACGAAGGGGGCUAGCGUUGCUCGGAAUCACUGGGCGUAAAGGGUGCGUAGGCGGGUUUUUAAGUCAGAGGUGAAAUCCUGGAGCUCAACUCCAGAACUGCCUUUGAUACUGAAAGUCUUGAGUAUGGGAGAGGUGAGUGGAACUGCGAGUGUAGAGGUGAAAUUCGUAGAUAUUCGCAAGAACACCAGUGGCGAAGGCGGCUCACUGGGUCAUUACUGACGCUGAGGCACGAAAGCGUGGGGAGCAAACGGGG
rnacentral:rRNA from 1 species